GAGGUAGUAGUACCAAAGCUUUCAGCAGAAAAAAAGGUUGUACUCAUCUGCUGUGCGAGAGACUUGAAAAGUAACAUAUGAAAUGGUAUAGUAGUUGUGGAAAUUUCAGAUUCUUUUUCUUUUCUUCUUUGUUGCUUAAUUAAGUUAUCCCGAGUAUAAAUCAACAAAUGUUGGAUAAGUGGUAAGACUUAUUGUAUUUUCAAAGAA
rnacentral:misc_RNA from 1 species